rnacentral:rRNA from 1 species
CCGUAGCCCAAGAGAUCGGGAUAACACCUGGAAACAGAUGCUAAUACCGGAUAACAACAGAUGAUGCCUAUCAACUGUUUAAAAGAUGGUCCUGCUAUCACUCUUGGAUGGACCUGCGGUGCAUUAGCUAGUUGGUAGGGUAACGGCCUACCAAGGCGAUGAUGCAUAGCCGAGUUGAGAGACUGAUCGGCCACAUUGGGACUGAGACACGGCCCAAACUCCUACGGGAGGCAGCAGCA